rnacentral:misc_RNA from 1 species
ACUUCUCAAUCCUAACUGGUUUUUACAAGCUAUGUUAGGAUUGGAUUUGGGCUUUGCUGCGUCAAAUGCAGCUGGCCUUAAAAGGAUUAGCUGAAUCUUGUCUAACUGAAGACUGGUUUGACUCGGCGUGAUAAUUAUCUGACCGCUGAGGACAUCGCAAGAUGGCCAGACUUUGAGACUGAGAGUCGCUUCUAAUCGUCGUUUAUUCGACAGAUUUUCACC